GAUGAACGCUGGCGGCGUGCCUAAUACAUGCAAGUCGAGCGAACGGACGAGAAGCUUGCUUCUCUGAUGUUAGCGGCGGACGGGUGAGUAACACGUGGAUAACCUACCUAUAAGACUGGGAUAACUUCGUGAAACCGGAGCUAAUACCGGAUGAUAUUUUGAACCGCAUGGUUCAAAAGUGAAAGACGGUCUUGCUGUCACUUAUAGAUGGAUCCGCGCUGCAUUAGCUAGUUGGUAAGGUAACGGCUUACCAAGGCAACGAUGCAUAGCCGACCUGAGAGGGUGAUCGGCCACACUGGAAAUGAGACACGGUCCAGACUCCUACGGGAGGCAGCAGUAGGGAAUCUUCCGCAAUGGGCGAAAGCCUGACGGAGCAACGCCGCGUGAGGGAUGAAGGUCUUCGGAUCGUAAAACUCUGUUAUUAGGGAAGAACAUAUGUGUAAGUAACUGUGCACAUCUUGACGGUACCUAAUCAGAAAGCCACGGCUAACUACGUG
rnacentral:rRNA from 1 species